rnacentral:pre_miRNA from 1 species
AGAAAAAUCACUUAGAGAUCUUGUCAAAAUGCAGAAUUUGAUUUAGUAGGUCUGGGUCCUGAAAUUCUGCUCUUCUAAUAAGCUCCCAAGUGAUGACGAU